ensembl:lncRNA
CAAAAGCCCAGCAGGAGAGCUGACGCUACAUAUGGGUGAAUAGGUGGAGUGAUUGGGACUAAUUAAUCACCAGAGUCACUAUCACUGCAUUAGAGGUGUUAAUGACCCUGCGCUGCCGAUGAGGUAAAGUUUGCGACCCAUUUCAGACGCAAAGGCUCCAGCUUUUCCUUCGCCUACUUUUUGCAUUUUUUUGUUCCAUUUGCCAACAUGGAGCUCCGUUCGCGUCCUUAUUUGUUGUUUCAGAGCCAAGUGUUUUCUAUCUGAGGAAAUCUAGCUUGUUUUGAAAAUGGAAAACAGGCCUGAGGGGGCAAAUGGUAGCAGAGCCACACCCAGAGUGAUCAGCACGCAGUCUCAACAACAGAACUGUAAAGGGAGAGGCCUUUUGACACCGGCCCAUUUGCAUGCAUAAGAAAACACUGCCAAGCACACCCAGUAGAGGAGUAAAAAUGAAGCAGCGAGCAUGUUCGUGACAGCAGAAAAUGUUUGGAGGGGAAAGUUUCUCUGAGUCCCUGUUUUUUUUUUUGUUUUUUUUUUUUUUUUUAAAUACUAAAGAUGGAGUGACAUUUUCCAUGUCGUGUUCCUCUGCUCUGCACCAUGACAGUAUGUUAGUGGAAUAAGGAGGCCCUUGUCUGUGUUUCUCUGUGUCUGUCUGUCUGUCUGCCCCCUGGCUGGUCAGAUGAUGUGUCUGUCUUUUCUUUAUGGAGGUCUGUCUCUCGGUCCUGGAUUUGCAGAUAAGAUAGAAAAAAAAAUGGAGGGAAGAAAGACACAAGGAGAGGUUUUUAGAGGAGGAUAAAAAAAUAGAGGUCAGGAGAGGAGAAACUAGCGAGGAUAAGUAGAGGGGAAGGGGGAGAGAGGGAGUGAAAGAAAGAAAGAGAGUGAGAGAGAGUGAAUGGGCCCUUUGUGAUCAAAAGGCUUGUUUAUUUUCUUGGCGCUUGAACUCUUCAGGAGCCACAUUGGGCCUGUCUGCACUGUCUAGCUUGCGUCCUCAUCGCCUCCCCGACAGCCCAGCAACCAGCCCUGAAUUCACCGAGAGGAGCUGGGCCAUCUCAGAACCAAAACAAGCACAUCAAGCACGGAAAAAAAAGAAGGUUUAGACACUUGAAUCACUCGAAGCACACUCAGCUAAACAUCCUGAGCACUCGAGAGGUGGUAGGCAUGGAGAAGGUUCAUUUCAGAUUGAGUCAAAACAAGAGUUUCUUAGGUGUGACGCCUACUUUGAUUUUCUUUUCCUUUGGUAAAAAGUAGAAGCUAGUCAUUCGUGUACAACUUGUAAGUAAAUUUACUUCC